rnacentral:rRNA from 1 species
AUGACGCAAGGCCUAACUGAUGGAGUUAGGUUGUCAGUAAAGCAGUCAUAUGGAAGCAGUAGCUUGUCAUGUUGUCGAUAUUUAACUCAGGUUCCAACUAGUGAUGAAAGAGGCUAUUUGACCUCAACUCCGUAUAUCCCAUCAUAUCAUUAUUCAUCUCUGGCAAGUCCACCACGCAAUGCUCACUGGAAGGAUGGUUACAACAUCAACUGCGACCAAUGCAAAGAGAUUUAUGCAUCUGAGCAUCAGAGUUUAAACAAAGGAAAAUCCGUUACACCUCCAGAAUCGACUCGACUCAGCAAGGUACUCCGGAUUACCUUGAAGCUCCUGAAGUAUCAGCAAGCUUUCAUUAGAAAGAAAGCUUUACUCUGA